UGUCCUGAUGAUACUGGGUUUGGGAAUAGCCGUCAGAAGCGGUGACUGAUGAGUUUUAUGCCUCUGAAG
ensembl:snoRNA SNORD49B small nucleolar RNA, C/D box 49B